rnacentral:rRNA from 1 species
UACGGAGGGUGCGAGCGUUGUCCGGAAUCAUUGGGCGUAAAGGGCGCGUAGGCGGCCUGCUAAGUCGAACGUGAAAUCCCCGGGCUCAACCCGGGAACUGCGUCCGAUACUGGCAGGCUUGAAUCCGGGAGAGGGAUGUGGAAUUCCAGGUGUAGCGGUGAAAUGCGUAGAUAUCUGGAGGAACACCGGUGGCGAAGGCGGCAUCCUGGACCGGUAUUGACGCUGAUGCGCGAAAGCCAGGGGAGCAAACGGG